GCUAUUCUAGACAGUCUUGUGGAAACAUUAGCAGGUUCGCCACCUGUAGGUGUUAAUGAACUUGGGUGUUCAUUCGCUGUACUCCAUCCCCCUCAUGGUUGCCUUAUUUGACUUAUAUUGCUGAGGUACCCCCGAAGCAUGUGUUGUCGCCCCGAUGAAAUAUUCUUAGACUAGGUCCCUUAUGUUAGUUGUUUUAGGGACAUUAAAGUGAGAAUAACGGGAAUGGGUAAUUGGGUUAUUGUUGGUUGGUGAAAAUUAAAUAUGAUAUUUAUUGUGGGUUGAAAACCCUAUAUGCUCACCAGGCUCCCAAGCCUGACCCACUCAGUUUUAAAUUGUAUUACAGGUAGUGGCGGAAGGGCAUGAGAUGGAUGAACCAUCAAGUUGUUUUGUUUACAAGUCUGCAUAUGUUUAUAUUUGUUAUAUGACUUGUAAUGUAUUCGUUUAUGCUUAUUGGUCUGUAUCGGAACAUGACACCCCGAGUUUUGAUUAUAAUGAAAAUACAUUUCUUUUAUGAAAUGCUUCGGUAAACAAUGUUUUAUCAUGUUUUGUUUUUGGGAACAAAUUCCGCAACUCUUUCAAAUCAAAAGGAUUUACUCUGAAAAUAUUUAAAAGCAUAAAUGAAAAUCGGUCUUUUCUGGCCGAGAUUUUGGGGAUGUCACAGUUGGUAUCAGAGCAUUAGUUUAAGCGAACUAGGAAUUUGUAGGAUUUCUAGACUUAAACUUAGAAUGCUAAGUGAAGUUUUGAGAUGUGUGUCUGUUGUGUUUUAGACACGAGCACUAGUUUAUUUUAGGAAAGUUGCCUAAAAUGCUUUAUGUGCUAAAUGUUAUAUGUUGCCAUAUAUGAUAUUAUUUGUUCGGAUCUAUGGUCUGUUGCCGACCGGAUCUAGAAACCUUAUGUGUGUAGGAUUCUAAGCGUACGUCUACGAUAUUAGAACUAGCAUGUAAACGUUUCGGAGUGAUAAGGAUGAUUUGAAUAUCUAUCAUGAUUGAGGAUCUAAUUUCACCUUAUUCGGGGUGUAGAUCAAAAUGGUGAGAACAAGAAGUGGAGUUGGAAAUGCUGACGAAAACAGGAAUCAACCACCAGUGAUUGAGCCAAUACCUGUCGUAGCAGCAGCACCUGAGCCAAUAACCAUGGCUGGUGUGCAAUUGAUGAUUCAGACGAUGUUGGAUCGUCAGAUGGAUGAAACUAGACGGUUGCUUCAACAAAAUCGUGAAGAACUGUCGAUUCGUGUGGAAGAGCCUGAAUUAAAUGAAGGGCACUCGGAAGGUGGAAACUUCAGUGGGUCUGUUGGUCCAGCCAACCCACCGAUAGUUAGGCAAGAUAACCAUGAAGGAAGGAAUGAUGGAAUGGGAUGCAAGUACAAGGACUUUUUGACUUGCAAACCAUCGACCUUCAAUGGAAAGGAGGAUCCGAUUGGGGUUAUGGAUUGGAUCUCCGAAAUGGAGUUAGCCUUUAUGACAUGUGGCUGCAGAGGUAAGUUGCAGACUAUCUAUGCCGUGCGACAAUUCCGAGGUGGAGCCGUUCGUUGGUGGAACACUCUAGGGAAGACCUUAAGCCCUAAUGAGCCACUGCAAUUGUCAUGGGCAGAGUUCUUGGUGCAGUUCAAGCGCAAGUUCUGCUCGGCUCAAAAUCUGUUGGAGUUGGAGAAUAAGUUUUUGACAUUGACGAAGGGUAGCAUGUCAGUUGAUGAAUACACCAAUAACUUCACCGAUAAGAUGGAGUUUGCCUUGCGUAUCGUUCCAGACGAGCUGACAAAGGUGGAUCGGUAUGCGAAGGGACUUCCAUGGGAGUACGAGGUGCCGGUACGUCAGGCACUUACUCUAGAGGCAGCUAUCUGGGCUGCCAAGUCUGUGGAGAACAUGAUCAAGGGGAGAACCACCGUCAAGGUUGAGGUUGGUGAGAAAAGGAAGUUUGAAGGAACAUCUGGUUCCAGUAAGAAGAGCAAAUUUUCGAAAUCUGAUUCGAAAAAGUUUGGAGGAAAAGGAGGCGAAGCAAAGUGGUGUGAUAAGUGUAAGAAAAAGCACUUUGGGAAAUGUAGCGAGGAUGUGACCUGCUACAAGUGUGGAAAGGUUGGACAUUUUGCCAAUGAAUGUCCGAACAACAAAAGGAUGUGUUUUGGUUGUAAUGAAGAGGGGCAUAUUUUGAAAGACUGUCCGAAGAAGAAGGAGGCAGCUAGGCCCAACAUUCCACCAAAGCCGAAGGCGAGAGCCUUCCAGAUGACACUUGAGGCUGCGAAAGAUGAAGCUGAUGUCGCUUCAGGUACCUUUCUCGUAAACGAAUUACCUGCUCAUAUAUUGUUUGAUUCUGGAGCCAACUACUCCUUUAUUUCGCAUGAGUUUGGUAGAAAGCUAGCUUUGCCUGUUGAUAGACUAAAUAAUGCUUUAUUAGUCGAAGUAGCUAGUGGCAAGUUUGUACCUGUUAGCCAUCGUAUGAAAAACGUCUUGAUCGACCUUAAUGGGAAUAAGUUUCUCGAGGAAUUAUUGCCUAUCGAACUAAAUGGUUUCGACAUCGUCUUGGGAAUGGAUUGGCUUAGCGCCAAUGAUGCCGAAAUUUUGUGCAAGAAGAAGAUAGUUAAAGUAAACCCGCCUGGAAAAGAUUCGUUUAUGGUGUAUGGGGACAAACGCAGAGUGAAUUCUGGAAUCAUUUCUCUAAUGAAAGCCAGAAAGUGUUUGACCAAGGGAUGUACAUCAUAUUUAGCAUUCGUGAUUGAUGCUAAGAAAGAAAAGAAGGUGAUGCAGAGCAUUCCAGUGGUGUGUGAUUAUCCGGAAGUAUUUCCCGAGGAUCUUCCUGGAUUACCACCUGAUAGACAAGUGGAGUUCAGAAUAGACUUGUUACCAGGAACCACGCCAAUAGCAAAAGCACCUUAUCGAUUAGCACCGACGGAGAUGAAGGAGCUAAUGAUGCAACUUCAGGAGUUAUUGGACAAAGGUUUCAUUAGACCUAGUUCAUCGCCCUGGGGAGCUCCGGUGUUAUUUGUAAAGAAGAAAGAUGGAAGUAUGAGAAUGUGCAUCGAUUACAGAGAGCUGAACAAGGCAACAAUAAAGAAUAGAUAUCCGUUGCCGAGGAUUGAUGACCUGUUUGAUCAAUUGCAAGGUUCGAGCUAUUUCUCGAAGAUCGAUCUUAGGUCAGGAUAUCAUCAGCUGAAAGUAAGAGAGCAAGAUAUCGAGAAGACUGCAUUCAGAACUAGAUAUGGACACUACGAGUUCUUGGUUAUGUCGUUUGGACUAACCAAUGCUCCAGCAGCGUUCAUGGAUUUGAUGAAUAGGGUUUGUAAUCCUUUCCUUGAUAAAUCCGUGAUAGUGUUCAUAGACGACAUUCUGAUCUACUCGAAAAGCCAGGAGGAGCAUGGCAGACACUUGCGAGAAGUGUUAGAAGUUUUGAAGAAGGAGAAGCUUUAUGCGAAGUUCUCCAAAUGUGAUUUUUGGAUUCGUGAAGUCCAAUUCUUGGGUCACGUGGUCAACCAAGAAGGGAUAAUGGUUGAUCCAGCGAAGAUCGAAGCUGUGACGAAGUGGGAACAACCGAAAAGUCCCACGGAGAUUCGAAGCUUUUUAGGAUUAGCCGGAUAUUACCGAAGGUUUAUCCAAGGCUUUUCUUCGAUUGCUACUCCAUUAACAGCUUUGACCCACAAAGGAGCUACUUAUGCUUGGAGUGAGAAGCAUAAAGAAGCAUUCGAGAAGUUAAAGAAGAAGCUAUGCGAGGCACCGAUACUUUCUCUACCCGAUGGAGUUGAAGACUUCGCUGUUUAUAGCGAUGCGUCUGGUGUUGGAUUGGGUUGUGUUUUGACCCAAAGAGAAAAGGUGAUAGCAUAUGCGUCUCGACAGCUGAAAGAGCAUGAAAAGAAUUACCCGACUCAUGAUUUGGAGUUGGCAGCGGUAGUUUUCGCUCUGAAAAUAUGGAGGCAUUACCUCUAUGGCACGAAGUGCAAACUUUUCACUGAUCAUAAGAGUCUCCAAUACCUCUUUAAUCAGAAAGAAUUGAAUAUGAGGCAACGACGCUGGCUAGAAUUACUUAAAGACUACGACUGCGAGAUACUUUACCACCCCGGUAAAGCUAAUGUUGUUGCUGAUGCUCUCAGUCGGAAGGUCAAUCUUGAAAGGAAGAGGCCAAGAGCGUUGAGAAUUGAAGUUGUCUCGACCAUUGUGGAAAGUAUAAAGAAAGCUCAAGAGGAAGCUUCUGAGAAAAAUGACCGAAAGGAGGAACGUUUGGGUAAAACGUUGGUGUUUGGUACUAACGGUCAUGGACUGAAGGUAUUCCAAGAUCGUAUUUGGGUACCUAAGUCAGGAGGAAUUAGAGAUCUUCUGAUGGAAGAAGCUCACAAGACCAUGUACUCGAUUCAUCCGGGUAGCACUAAAAUGUAUAGGGACCUGAAACCCUACUACUGGUGGCCGACGAUGAAGCUUGAUGUUGCAAAGUAUGUGGCCGAGUGUGUGACUUGUGCGAGAGUCAAGACACAACAUCAGAAACCGUACGGGAGUUUAGAACCUUUGCCUGUGCCUAUGGGUAAGUGGGAAGACAUUGCUAUGGAUUUUGUCACUAAACUGCCCAGAACAAAGAAUGGUCACGACAUGAUUUGGGUGGUCGUUGAUCGAUUCACUAAGAGUGCGCAUUUCAUAGCGGCCAGGGAGAAAUGGUCUAUGGAAAAGCUUGCGAAUUCUUACGUGAAGGAAAUUGUGAGGCUUCACGGUGUUCCGUUAACGAUUGUAUCGGAUCGUGAUAGCCGUUUCACCUCAAGGUUUUGGAAAAGUCUACAAGAGGAAAUGGGUACCAAGUUAUGUUUAAGCACAGCUUACCAUCCGCAGACUGAUGGUCAGAGUGAAAGAACAAUACAAACACUUGAAGAUAUGCUGAGAGCAUGUACCUUGGAAUUCCUAGGUAAUUGGGAUGAACAUUUACCGUUGGUAGAAUUUUCCUAUAAUAAUAGUUUUCACUCGAGCAUUAAGAUGGCACCUUAUCAAGCUUUGUAUGGACAGAAGUGUCGUACGCCGUCUUGUUGGCUUGAGGCUGGGGAAAAGCAGUUUAUGGGACCGGAGUUGGUUCAUCAAACUGCUGAAAAGUUGAAAAUAAUUAGGGAAAGAAUGUUAGCAGCUCAAGAUCGUCAAAAGAGCUAUGCUGACAAGAAGCGAAGACCGAUGACUUUUGAGGUUGGAGAUUCGGUUUUGCUUAAAGUCUCGCCGUGGAAGGGACUUAUAAGAUUUGGUAAAAGGGGAAAGUUGAGUCCAAGGUUUAUUGGACCGUUUAGAGUCCUUCAGAGGAUUGGGAAUCAAGCUUACAAGCUCGAAUUACCCGAAGAACUGAAUGGAAUUCACAACACCUUUCAUGUGUGUUAUUUGAGGAAGUUCACGGGAGAAGUUCCCGAUAUAAUUCCAAUUUCUGAAUUGAGAAUUGAUGAGAACAAAAGGUUGAUUGAAGAACCAGAGGCAAUUGUUGACCGAAAGACUAAGAAGUUGCGACGCAAAAUGGUUGGGUUAGUGCUUGUCCGAUGGAAACACACGAAUGGGCCGAAUCUCACCUGGGAGACGGAGAGUGACAUGUUGAGUCGCUAUCCGCAUUUGUUUGUUGAUGUGUGAUUCCGGGGACGGAAUCAUUCUAAGGUGGAGAGAAUUGUAACGCCUGUGUUUCGGGCUUGCCAUUUGUAGCAAUGUAAUAGUCUAGGUUAACCUCUGUAACCCGUUUUGAAAUAAUAAGAUUGUAUUAUUUGAGUAUUGUGUGUUUUGUGCUUAAUUGCUUAAUUAUGUGGUUUGAUUAAUUAAGAAUAAAAAUAAGCGUCAAAAUUUAAGUGUAAAAUAAACUUAAUAUAUUUGGUUAAUGUUGUAGUAGUUGAAACGAGGUUUCCGAAUAUAUAUAGAACGCCCAAAUCUGACUUCGUAUGAGGAAGUUAUGAUUUAUCGAAGUUCCGGCUUAGCGAUAUACAGCCUGUUUUACUCGAUUUGAGAUCGAGCGGUUGUUAGCCGAAGCAAUCUAAAUGAGAAUCGAAGAUCUCAUUGUUGGUAUUGAAACGAUAAAAAGUUAGGCGAGAACGGACGUCAAACGAAGAAGUUAUGAAUUUAUAACGAAAGUUUCUGUCCCGGCCUAUUAAAAAUAAUUAAUAAAAAUAAAGUCAAAAUUAGCCGACGGAGUCUAAACGAAAGUCGUAGAGCGUGGUCUCACCUUCGCGUGGAUAUAAAGAACGUCGAAAACGGAGUUCGUAUGAAGAAGUUAUGAAUUUCCGAAGUUUAUUAAUCAUUUUGUAUUUAUAUUUAAAUCAAAAUUCGGAAGCAUUAUCCGAAGGAGUCACCGAUCUGAUCCGAGGUACGCCCCGCGUACUCGAGUACGCCCCGCGUACUCCGAGGGAUGUCGACACUCGCACUCGAGCACUUCGGAUACGUAAGCAAUGACGUUUUGGGCAGUACGCCCCGCGUAACGCAGUACGCCCCGCGUACUCCGAGGCUCCAGCCUCCUAUAAAUAGGAUGCGAGGGUUCCGGGUAUUUUUGCCAAUUCCCUCUCGUUUUCGUGUCGAAGCUCUGUGCAAAAACCCCCGAAGCUACCCCGAAGUCCCGGUAUCAUACUCUAGCCCCGAGGCAAGUCCCGAGAUCCCGAAGAUCCCGAAAAGUGCGGUUCCCGAGUCGAAGCUCUGCCCGCGAGAAGUUCGAUUUUCGAGAAGAUCUUCCAGAUCUGCUGUGGAUUACUACUUCUAUAAGCCGUAGUGCUGUCCGAUCAUCUUCUGAUCAAGUGAGUGUGUAGUUAUUUCUUCUAAUACAAUAAUACGAAGUAUUUUAUAUAAAAAUACGUGCUAUGUGUAUAUAUUUGGUUGUGUUAUGUGUGAAUGAGUAUUCACUCUCUUCUAUCUUAUAGAUCUGCUUAUUUCUUUAUGAGAUAUGUGUUAUGUGUGUGUGUGCCUCAUCUGUUAUGUGAUAUAUGUGUUGAUUAAAGCAUGCUAUACAGGUUUUCUUUAAACUAUGUAUACAAAUGUAUAUUUUUAUCUACUAAUAUGUUGGGUAGAACAUGGGUAGACAGUUGGUGUGUAAUAAACAGAUGAGAGGCCUCGUUGUUGUUUGAUUGAGUCAUCUAGCGGAGUUUAGAUGACGACCACUGGCUAUUCUAGACAGUCUUGUGGAAACAUUAGCAGGUUCGCCACCUGUAGGUGUUAAUGAACUUGGGUGUUCAUUCGCUGUACUCCAUCCCCCUCAUGGUUGCCUUAUUUGACUUAUAUUGCUGAGGUACCCCCGAAGCAUGUGUUGUCGCCCCGAUGAAAUAUUCUUAGACUAGGUCCCUUAUGUUAGUUGUUUUAGGGACAUUAAAGUGAGAAUAACGGGAAUGGGUAAUUGGGUUAUUGUUGGUUGGUGAAAAAAUUAAAUAUGAUAUUUAUUGUGGGUUGAAAACCCUAUAUGCUCACCAGGCUCCCAAGCCUGACCCACUCAGUUUUAAAUUGUAUUAUAGGUAGUGGCGGAAGGGCAUGAGAUGGAUGAACCAUCAAGUUGUUUUGUUUACAAGUCUGCAUAUGUUUAUAUUUGUUAUAUGACUUGUAAUGUAUUCGUUUAUGCUUAUUGGUCUGUAUCGGAACAUGACACCCCGAG
rnacentral:lncRNA from 1 species